UAACGAGGAUUCCCCUAGUAACUGCGAGUGAAGCGGGAAAAGCUCAAAUUUAAAAUCUGGCGGUUUAUGGCCGUCCGAGUUGUAAUCUAGAGAAGCGUCUUCCGUGCCGGACCGUGUACAAAUUUCUUGGAACAGAAUAUCAUAGAGGGUGAGAAUCCCGUCUUUGACAUGGACUACCGGUGCUCUGUGAUGCGCUCUCGAAGAGUCGCGUUGUUUGGGAAUGCAGCGCAAAAUGGGUGGUAAAUUCCAUCUAAAGCUAAAUAUUGGCGAGAGACCGAUAGCGAACAAGUACCGUGAGGGAAAGAUGAAAAGCACUUUGGAAAGAGAGUUAAACAGUACGUGAAAUUGUUGAAAGGGAAACGCUUGAAGUCAGUCGCGUCCAGCGGAACUCAGCCUUGCUUUUGCUUGGUGCACUUUCCGUUUGACGGGCCAGCAUCGAUUUCGGCCGCUGGAAAAAGUUCAGGGGAAGGUGGCACCCUCGGGUGUGUUAUAGCCUCCGUUCGCAUACAGCGGCUGGGAUCGAGGAUUGCAGCAUGCCUUUUGGCC
rnacentral:rRNA from 1 species